GGGAAACGUAGUCCAACAACGAAAGAGCCCUGAAGCUCAAGCGGAGCCCGCUGGCCGCAGGGGCCGCACCACGCCCCAGACCCUGGAGUUUCCGGGUGCGCAGACCCUUGCCAUCAGCAGAGGCUGCCGCUGCGCGUCCCCUAGGCGCGGAAGAGGCGGCUGGUGGUCCCUGACGGCAAGGUUUUAUACAUUACGAAUAAAGCUGGCACGUUUCCAUUUCUCCUGGGCAAAUAUUUAGAAGAAAAGUUGCUGGGUAAUUGAAGCACUGAGACCACAGAGGCAAGAGCUGGGGAAGGAAAACUGCCCAUGAGAUGAGAUGUGCCUCUCAGCUUCCAAAAUCGGGGAGAUGCCCCCCAUGGAAUCCAGCCAUCAUGCUGUGAGGAAUCCAAGCAGCUACAUAGAAAGGCCACAACUAGAUAUUCCAGCUGUAGUCAGCUGAAGCUCCAGCCAACAGCCAACAUCAACCACCACACGUGAAAACGAGCAAGCCUUCAGAUGAUUCCGACUCCCAACCUCCAAGCCACCUCAGCUGAAGCCAAGUAGAGCAGAGACUAGCUGUCCCCCAAUGCUCUAAUAUGCAGAUUCAUAAUUAAAAAGAAUGUUAUUGUUCUAAGCCA
rnacentral:lncRNA from 1 species